rnacentral:rRNA from 1 species
CCUACGGGUGGCAGCAGUGAGGAAUCUUGGUCAAUGGCCGGAAGGCUGAACCAGCCAUGCCGCGUGAAGGUCAGUGCCCUAUGGGCGUUAAACUUCUUUUGUGCGGGAGCAAUAAUGGUCACGUGUGGCCAGACGAGAGUACCGUACGAAUAAGCAUCGGCUAACCCCGUGCCAGCAGCAGCGGUAAUACGGGGGAUGCAGGCGUUAUCCGGAUUUAUGGGGUUUAAAGGGUGCGUAGGCGGGGAGGUAAGUCAGAGGUGAAAUUCCCCCGCUCAACGGGGUGAAGUGCCAUUGAUACUGCCUUGCUGGAGUGCGGAUGCAGUGUGAGGAAUGUGUGGUGUAGCGGUGAAAUGCAUAGAUAUAACGCAGAACACCGAUUGCGAAGGCAUCUCACGAAUCCGCGAUUGACGCUGAUGCACGAAAGCGUGGGUAUCAAACAGGAUUAGAUACCCCAGUAGUC